rnacentral:rRNA from 1 species
AUUUACAUUCCUACAGUGUUAAUUCAUUAAAUCCAAUUAGAACUAUGCAAUUAAGAGUGCUUGGGAUAGAGUAGUACUUGGAUAGGUGACCUCUGGGGAAGUCCUAGUGUUUUACAUG